rnacentral:lncRNA from 1 species
AUUGCUUUUAAUGACAGCUUUGGCAUUCUGCAUUUUAUUCUGGUUAUUACUGCAAACUGGUGGGUGAUUAAUGUGUAUUACAUUCCCUUCUAAUGUGGUUUGUCUCUUUCUUCCUUUCUCCCAAUUUGGUGUCUUAUCUAUUGUGGUGACACAAAUACUCAGAUGUUGUUUAAUUUCUGGGUUUAUUUCCUUUCCCUCUUUCAAGACCCAUCCGAUGGCAGCACCUCCUUCUUCGAGGGUUCCCAGCUCUGAUGGAAUCAUUUUGACAUUUGACCACAGACCAUUGACACCGCUGGCAGCUGCUCACCACCCACAGAAUAAAGUCCUAGUCCCUUAGCUUUCCAGGACCUUCUAGCCUGGGAUCGGCAUGACAUCAAUCUCCUCCUGAUCCUCUUCAGCCCCUGGAGGUUAAAGACCUGCUGCCCUGCUUGCCUCACUUCUCUGCUCACUGGGGCUGUUUCCAGUCCUGUUGAGCCCAUUUUACUCACCUGGACCCCUGCAGUGUGCUGCCUCCUGGAGCCUGUGCUGCUUGCCUGAGGCCUUUCUGAGGUUGCCAGGGCCCGUGAUGCCUGCCAGGCUUGAGAAAAUGAGCACACCUCUUUACCACCACCAUAACCCUCAAUAACUGAGUAGAGUUGGAGGUAAAUACCCUAGUUCAUUCGCCCUUUCAUGAGAUAAAUCUGAGCUGUGUACCACACUGGCUCCAGAGUUCUUUAGGGAGAUUGAUAUGUUUUGGCUCUGUGUCCCCACCCAAAUCUCAUCUCAGAUUGUAAUCCCCACGUGUCAGGGGAGGGACCAGGUGGGAGUUGAUUGGAUCAUGGGGGGCGGUUUCACCCAUGCUGUUCUCCAGAUAGUGUGUGAAUUCUCAUGAGAGCUGAUGGUUUUAAAGUGUGGCACUUCCUCAUUCUCACACACACUCCCUCCUGCAGCCUUGUAAGUAAGCUGUCUGCUUUCCCCUUCGCCUUCCACCAUAAUCGUUACGUUUCCUGAGGCUUCCUAGCCAUGCUUUCUGCGAAGCCUGCGGAACUGAGUGAAUUAAACCUCUUUUCUUUAUAAUUACCCAGUAUCAGGUAGUUCUUUUAGCAGUGUGAGAAUGGACUAAUACUGAGAUGAAGCUCCAGACACUAGUGGGCUUGGGAACAUGCUAUUCUCUCUCUUGCUUCCCCACUUCUUAAGGUGUCUCUUCGCCUCCCAAAAUAAAUAACUCGCCUGCAAAUCCUUGCCUCAGGGGGAGCUUCUGGGGGAACUCAAACCAAGACAGGUCCCUCCUGGAACCUUUUCUCUUAGCCAGCUUUGCAUAACAAAUUCUCAAACCCAACUUCAAUGGGAACCCCAUCUGAGGAUAUGGGGAAUAAUACUAGUGAGGACUCAGUGCCAG